rnacentral:rRNA from 1 species
CAAUAGCGUAUAUUAAAGUUGUUGCAGUUAAAAAGCUCGUAGUUGGAUUUGUGGCGUACGGUGGGUUCCGGGCACUUGUUGUCUGAGUAACUUGCUGUUGCCAUCCUUGGGUGGAACCUGUGUGGCAUUAGGUUGUCGUGCAGGGGAUGCCCAUCAUUUACUGUGAAAAAAUUAGAGUGUUCAAAGCAGGCUUAUGCCGUUGAAUAUAUUAGCAUGGAAUAAUGAGAUAGGACUUUUUUGCUAUUUUGUUGGUUUGCGCAAAGAGGUAAUGAUUAAUAGGGACAGUUGGGGGUAUUCGUAUUCCAUUGUCAGAGGUGAAGUUCUUGGAUUUUUGGAAGACGAACUACUGCGAAAGCAUUUACCAAGGAUGUUUUCAUUAA